rnacentral:rRNA from 1 species
AACGAACGCUGGCGGCAGGCUUAACACAUGCAAGUCGAACGGACGAAGCAAUACGUGAGUGGCAGAAGGGUGAGUAACGCGUGGGAAUAUGCGCUUGAGUUCGGACUAACCAAGGGAAACCUUGGCGAAUACCGGAUAAGCACGAGAGGGGCGAGAUUCAUCGCUGAAGGAGUAGCCCGCUGCUGAUUAGCUAGUUGGUGAGGUAAUGGCUCACCAAGCGGAAGAUCAGUAUCUGGUCUGAGAGGAUGAGCGGCCACACUGGGAAUGAGACACGGCCCAGACUCCUACGGGAGGCGGCAGUGGGAAAUAUUGGACAAUGGGCGCAAGCCAGAGCCAGCCAUGCCGCGUGAGUGAUGACGGCCCUAGGGUUAUAAAGCUCUUUCACCGGUGAAGAUAAUGACGGUAACCGGAGAAGAAGCCCCGGCUAACUUCGUGCCAGCACCCGCCGUAACCA